rnacentral:rRNA from 1 species
AUUGAACGCUGGCGGCAGGCCUAACACAUGCAAGUCGAGCGAGCGGCGGACGGGUGAGUAAUGUCUGGGAAACUGCCUGAUGGAGGGGGAUAACUACUGGAAACGGUAGCUAAUACCGCAUACCAUCAGAUGUGCCCAGAUUGGUUGAGCUAGGAGGGGGGGUAACGGCUCACCUAGGCGACGAUCCCUAGCUGGUCUGAGAGGAUGACCAACCACACUGGCACUGAGACACGGCCCAGACUCCUACGGGAGGCAGCAGUGGGGAAUAUUGCACAAUUGGCGCAAGCCUGAUGCAGCCAUGCCGCGUGUGUGAAGAAGGCCUUCGGGUUGUAAAGCACUUUCAGCGGGGAGGCUUUACCCGCAGAAGAAGCACCGGCUAACUCCGUGCCAGCAGCCGCGGUAAUUC